UGCUGACAUGGGGAAAUGCUUGCCUGUUUCUCCUUUUGGAGGACAGACUAGUACAUUAUAAAUGAAGUUUGAUGAAAGAGGAUUAAAGUCUCUUGAAAUCAGAACUUGCAGACCUGGGUUGCUUCUCUCUGAU